UUGAUUGGUUGAAGACAGUUUAUGAUUUUGAUGAUUUUAUGAACUGGAUUUGGUACAAAGGUGGUGUGUUUGCAAAAGCUGAACAGAGUUGGGAAAGAUGGUGGUGUGAGGAGCAAGAACAUUUGAGGACAACUGGGCUGUGGGGAAAGUUACUGGAGAUAGUUUUGGACCUUCGUUUCUUCUUUUUCCAAUAUGGCAUUGUCUAUCAAUUAGGCAUUGCUGAUAACAGUACCAGCAUUGCUGUUUACUUGCUGUCUUGGAUUUAUGUUAUUGUUGCUUUUGCAAUUUCUUGGGUGAUAGCAUAUGCUAGGGACAAAUAUGCGGCAAGAGAACAUAUCUACUAUCGACUGGUCCAGUUUCUUAUCAUCACACUUGGAAUAGUUGUGAUAGUAGCCUUGCUUGAGUUUACAUCUUUCAGAUUUAUGGAUAUAUUCACCAGUUUGCUUGCUUUUAUCCCCACUGGAUGGGGCAUGUUAUUGAUUGCCCAAGUACUUCGCCCCUUUCUGCAGUCCACUCCACUUUGGGGCGCAGUUGUUUCCAUGGCUCGGCUUUACGACAUAAUGUUUGGAGUGAUAGUUAUGGCCCCUGUGGCAUUUCUUUCAUGGAUGCCUGGAUUCCAAUCAAUGCAGACAAGGAUCCUAUUCAAUGAGGCAUUUAGUAGGGGCCUCAGAAUCUUCCAGAUUCUCACAGGGAAAAAAUCUAAGGUUGAUGUGUGAUUUGAGCUCUUAAGUCAUUAUGCGGCAUAUACAGAUGGAUUGGCCAGAUUUUCUCAGUUCUUCUGUGCAACUGUGCAAGUCUGACAUGGGUGGCUACCAGUGCAAUAAAAAAUUCUGUAAGAGCGAGGGGAUAAUUCUAUUUGGUUCUUCAUUCGGGAAUCAUCUUUUAUUGCUGUUGUAAUUAGUGAGAUAUAUCAUGCUUCCAUUGAUGUUUAUUUUGGGGGGCUAUACAUGCUUUAACGUUCCACAUUUCUGAAACAACAGCUCUUCACGUAUGGUGUCUAUAAAAUGAGGUUAGUGUGGUAGUCUGUGAUUUGCUAGAGUAUUUGUUAUUCUUUUUGACAGAUGUGCAGCUUUAUUUAUCUAUUUAUUUAUUUUUAACUCGGUAGUUUGCUUUGAUUU
rnacentral:misc_RNA from 1 species